rfam:Poecilia formosa, whole genome shotgun sequence.
ACAAAGGCUCUUUUAAGAGCCAACACUGCAACGCAUAAGAGCUCAU